AUUGAACGCUGGCGGCAUGCCUUACACAUGCAAGUCGAACGGCAGCACGGACUUCGGUCUGGUGGCGAGUGGCGAACGGGUGAGUAAUGUAUCGGAACGUACCUUUCAGUGGGGGAUAACGUAGCGAAAGUUACGCUAAUACCGCAUAUUCUGUGAGCAGGAAAGCAGGGGAUCGAAAGACCUUGCGCUGAUUGAGCGGCCGAUAUCAGAUUAGCUAGUUGGUGGGGUAAAGGCCUACCAAGGCGACGAUCUGUAGCGGGUCUGAGAGGAUGAUCCACCACACUGGAACUGAGACACGGUCCAGACUCCUACGGGAGGCAGCAGUGGGGAAUUUUGGACAAUGGGGGCAACCCUGAUCCAGCCAUGCCGCGUGAGUGAAGAAGGCCUUCGGGUUGUAAAGCUCUUUCGGCCGGGAAGAAAUCGCAUAGGCUAAUACCCUGUGUGGAUGACGGUACCGGAAUAAGAAGCACCGGCUAACUACGUG
rnacentral:rRNA from 1 species